rnacentral:rRNA from 1 species
GUGUCAGCCGCCGCGGUAAGACGAACCGUGCGAACGUUGUUCGGAAUCACUGGGCAUAAAGGGCGCGUAGGCGGGCGUCAAAGUCAGAGGUGAAAUCCCCCAGCUCAACUGGGGAACUGCCUUUGAUACUGGACGUCUCGAGUGAGGUAGGGGCGUGCGGAACUGAUGGUGGAGCGGUGAAAUGUGUUGAUAUCAUCAGGAACUCCGGUGGCGAAAGCGGCACGCUGGACCUUUACUGACGCUGAGGCGCGAAAGCCAGGGGAGCGAACGGGAUUAGAAACCCGCGUAGUCC